CAGCCGCCGCGGGAAAACGAAGGGUGCAAGCGUUACUCGGAAUUACUGGGCGUAAAGCGUGCGUAGGUGGUGGUUUAAGUCCGUUGUGAAAGCCCUGGGCUCAACCUGGGAAUUGCAGUGGAUACUGGGUCACUAGAGUGUGGUAGAGGAUAGUGGAAUUUCCGGUGUAGCAGUGAAAUGCGUAGAGAUCGGAAGGAACAUCUGUGGCGAAGGCGACUAUCUGGGCCAACACUGACACUGAGGCACGAAAGCGUGGGGAGCAAACAGGAUUAGAUACCCCGGUAGUCCCUGUCUCUUAUAA
rnacentral:rRNA from 1 species